GAAUAUUGGACAAUGGGCGAAAGCCUGAUCCAGCCAUGCCGCGUGUGUGAAGAAGGUCUUCGGAUUGUAAAUCACUUUAAUUUGGGAGGAAGGGCAAUAAGCGAAUACCUUGCUGUUUUGACGUUACCGACAGUAUAAGCACCGGCUAACUCUCUGCCAGCCGCCGCGGUAAUACAGAGGGUGCAAGCGUUAAUCGGCAUUACUGGGGGUAAAGCGCGCGUAGGUGUUUCGUUAAGUUGGAUGUGAAAUCCCCGGGCUCAACCUGGGAACUGCAUCCAAAACUGGCGAGCUAGAGUAGGGCAGAGGGUGGUGGAAUUUCCUGUGUAGCGGUGAAAUGCGUAGAUAUAGGAAGGAACGCCAGUGGCGAAGGCGACCACCUGGGCUCAUACUGACACUGAGGUGCGAAAGCGUGGGGAGCAAACA
rnacentral:rRNA from 1 species